rnacentral:piRNA from 1 species
CAAGCCUUGAGCUGUGGAGACAAGAGA